AUGGAACUCAGGCAGUGGCGCGCCAUUCCUAUCGCCGUCGUCACACCGCUGACCCCGAGCGGGAUCCGCCAUCCCCACGGCGAGGCCCCUCCUCGGCGGGCGCCCCUCCCUCGUCACCGCCAGCAACAGCCACACCGUUUCCAACGUGGCGGAGCACAGCCACACGGCCGGGGCGCUUGGACUCCGCCUGCUCUUCGGCGUACCCGCCGGCUCAACCUGCGCGGUCGGCGGCUCCGGCACGACGGCCCCCCCGCAGAGUCGUCGUCCGUGCGCUCGACCACGCAAGAGGGCUUCAACCAUGUGGACCAUGCGGGAGCAGGAUCCGCGCUCGGACCCGUCCUCACCGUUCUCCCGUUCGUGGCACGUGCCGACGUAGCGGACAGUCACAACGGACACCCUCGUUUCUCCCAGGAGUGCCACAACAUCGCCGACGCGGCAGGGUACGACCUGGACGCUCGGGUUCGGGCUAUCCCCGCUCCUUGGCGCCGGCGGCUCCACCUCCGUCGCCACGGGAGGGCGACUCGACCUGGCUGA
rnacentral:rRNA from 1 species